AACUCACAAUCAUGGUGACAAAGAGAGGUCAAUGUUUUGAUCCUCUGCUAAAAUAGACACAGUGGCGCUUGGAAUGUCACCUUGCCUGAGAGCAAUCUAGGAACCAAUCUGUGUGUUUUAGCUGUUGCUCCUAUUUUUAUGGAUCAGGUUCUCACUGAAAUGUCCAACCUGGGUUUCCUCUUUGCUCUUAAAUGGCAGGAUUGUUUUAGUGACAGCAUAAAGUCAUUUGGUGGAAUUGGAAUUUGAUUCGGCUGAUCAUGACUGUGAAACGCUGAUUUCUAGGUCUGCGCAAAGAAAACAACAAUGGGACACAUGAUGAUGGUGAUGGCUAGCACAGAGUUAAAAUGAGUGACUUUGGUUGGGAGAUGCUCUGAGGAGGAUCUGUGAUGUGUAAGUCACAGGGGUUAACCUUAGAAUGAAGAUUCCUUAAUUUCCCAUUUGAGGUUAGCACACGAUGACUUCCACCAGAGGCCAAGACCCAUAGUAGGACAUGCCACAGCAGACCUGAGACAGUGACAGAUUGGUAUCAGAUAGUGCUUUGCCCACCAAUCAGGAACCUAACAUCAAAGCCUAUCUAGGUCCCUGGACUUUGCUCUGUAAGCUGUGUGGACACAUCAACACUUGUUCCCUCUUUUUUGAAGUACUACUUCUAUUGAAUCUCAAAACAAGAAGAGAAGAUGGCUGCCACUGCAGCAAGCAGUUAAUAAAGACCUUUACUAAUUAAACACCAGUACUAAUAGAUAUUGUUAU